AGCUAAUGAUUUAGAUUCAAAAAUUCAAUAGCAAGGACGAAAGUGGUUUUAAUAGCAAACAACCAAGAAAUGUUCAUGUGACAAGAGCAGCAAAUUGUAGCCAGUCUAACAGUAACUGUUUAACUUGCACAGUCUGUCGAUCCUGGUGAUCAGGAUUUAUCUCAAGUGGCAAAAUUAAUCUACAAAUAGUUUUAGUCACAAAACACAGGAGUUUAAAGAUUCCCAGUAAAGUGCUAAGUGUAUUUAUUAUGCCACACACAGUGCAUGGUAGUAACAUAGAACUAUCUUCAUUUGAAGCUUUUGGUAGCAGGGGCAAAACUACCCCCCUUUUAAUUUGGGGGUGUCUGCCAGAAUUGCCCUGCCCAAACCGAUGAUGCCCUGCAGCAAAUUUUCAUUUCUGGCCACUGUUUCCCCCAAAAUGCUGGCGAACAGAGGUGGGUGGGUGGGAAGGGGGUGGAAAAUUUUUCUGGACCCCCCCCCCCCCUAACUCAAGUUUCGCCCCUGUUUGGUAGGGAUGCAACUACCUGAAAAAUACAAGGACAAUGUUUCGAGCGAAGGCCCUUCGUCGGGAAGUUUGUUGCGGGGUCUGGAAAAUUACAUGAGCUUUUAUGAUCAUGUGAAAAAAUUAAACCAAUCAGAUGCAUUUAGUCAU
rnacentral:lncRNA from 1 species